GACGAACGCUGGCGGCGUGCUUAACACAUGCAAGUCGAACGGAAAGGCCCUGCUUUUGUGGGGUUCUCGAGUGGCGAACGGGUGAGUAACACGUGAGUAACCUGCCCUUGACUUUGGGAUAACUUCAGGAAACUGCGGCUAAUACCGGAUAGUAGCUCCUGCUGCAUGGUGGGGGUUGGAAAGUGUCGGCGGUUGGGGAUGGACUCGCGGCUUAUCAGCUUGUUGGUGGGGUAGUGGCUUACCAAGGCUUUGACGGGUAGCCGGCCUGAGAGGGUGACCGGCCACAUUGGGACUGAGAUACGGACCAGACUGCUACGGGAGGCAGCAGUGGGGAAUAUUGCACAAUGGGCGGAAGCGUGAUGCAGAAACGCCGCGUGCGGGAUGAAGGCCUUCGGGUUGUAAACCGCUUUCGCCUGUGACGAAGCGUGAGUGACGGUAAUGGGAAAAGAAGCACCGGCUAACUACGUG
rnacentral:rRNA from 1 species